rnacentral:rRNA from 1 species
AGCAGCCGCGGUAAUUCCAGCUCCAAUAGCGUAUACUAAAGUUGUUGCGGUUAAAAAGCUCGUAGUUGGAUCUUGGAAUGUGUUCAAGCGGGUCAGCUUCUGGCUGUGCGCUGCUUGACGUGUUCUUCUAUUUGGUUUUGGUGCGGUGCGCUUAACUGCGUGUCGCUCCCGGCCGAAACGUUUACCUUGAAAAAAUUAGAGUGUUCAAAGCAGACCUGUUUGAGUCUGAAUAUUCGUGCAUGGAAUAAUGAAAUAUGAAUUCGGUUCUAUUUUGUUGGUUUUCGGAACUCGAGUUAAUGAUCAAGAGGGACAGACGGGGGCAUUCGUACUCUGCCGUUAGAGGUGAAAUUCUUGGAUCGGCGGAAGACGCGCAACUGCGAAAGCAUUUGCCAAGAAUGUUUUCUUUAAUCAAGAACGAUAGUCGGAGGUUCGAAGACGAUCAGAUACCGUCCUAGUUUCGACUGUAAACUAUGCCAGCUAACGAUCAGACAGAGUUCUCUACGACUUGUCUGGCAGUUUCCGGGAAACCAAAGCGUUUGGGUUCCGGGGGAAGUAUGGUUGCAAAGCUGAAACUUAAAGGAAUUGACGGAAGGGCACCACCAGGAGUGGAGCCUGCGGCUUAAUUUGACUCAACACGGGGAAACUCACCCGGCCCGGACACAGUGAGGAUUGACAGAUUGAGAGUUCUUUCUUGAUUCUGUGGGUGGUGGUGCAUGGCCGUUCUUAGUUGGUGGAGCGAUUUGUCUGGUUAAUUCCGAUAACGAACGAGACUCUGGCAUGUUAAAUAGUCGCGGAAGUGCGUAUGCACUUGCCGAAUUGACUUCUUAGAGGGACUAGUGAUUUUAAUUCACACGAGAUUGAGCAAUAACAGGUCUGUGAUGCCCAAGGCGAUCGUUAACUUGCAGACUAGUUC